rnacentral:rRNA from 1 species
UGCGUAGGUGGUUUUGUAAGUAACAUGUGAAAGUCCUGGGCUUAACCUGGGGGAUUGCAUGUUAAACUGCAAAGCUAGAGUGUUGUAGAGGAUAGCGGAAUUUCCGGUGUAGCGGUGAAAUGCGUAGAUAUCGGAAGGAACAUCAGUGGCGAAGGCGGCUAUCUGGACAACAACUGACACUGAGGCACGAAAGCGUGGGGAGGCAAACA